rnacentral:rRNA from 1 species
UGAACGCUGGCGGCAGGCUAACACAUGCAGUCGAGCGGUAGCACAGAGAGCUUGCUCUCGGGUGACGAGCGGCGGACGGGUGAGUAAUGUCUGGGAAACUGCCUGAUGGAGGGGGAUAACUACUGGAAACGGUAGCUAAUACCGCAUAACGUCGCAAGACCAAAGUGGGGGACCUUCGGGCCUCAUGCCAUCAGAUGUGCCCAGAUGGGAUUAGCUGGUAGGUGGGGUAACGGCUCACCUAGGCGACGAUCCCUAGCUGGUCUGAGAGGAUGACCAGCCACACUGGAACUGAGACACGGUCCAGACUCCUACGGGAGGCAGCAGUGGGGAAUAUUGCACAAUGGGCGCAAGCCUGAUGCAGCCAUGCCGCGUGUGUGAAGAAGGCCUUCGGGUUGUAAAGCACUUUCAGCGGGGAGGAAGGCGGUGAGGUUAAUAACCUCACCGAUUGACGUUACCCGCAGAAGAAGCACCGGCUAACUCCGUGCCAGCAGCCGCGGUAAUACGGAGGGUGCAAGCGUUAAUCGGAAUUACUGGGCGUAAAGCGCACGCAGGCGGUCUGUCAAGUCGGAUGUGAAAUCCCCGGGCUCAACCUGGGAACUGCAUUCGAAACUGGCAGGCUAGAGUCUUGUAGAGGGGGGUAGAAUUCCAGGUGUAGCGGUGAAAUGCGUAGAGAUCUGGAGGAAUACCGGUGGCGAAGGCGGCCCCCUGGACAAAGACUGACGCUCAGGUGCGAAAGCGUGGGGAGCAAACAGGAUUAGAUACCCUGGUAGUCCACGCUGUAAACGAUGUCGAUUUGGAGGUUGUGCCCUUGAGGCGUGGCUUCCGGAGCUAACGCGUUAAAUCGACCGCCUGGGGAGUACGGCCGCAAGGUUAAAACUCAAAUGAAUUGACGGGGGCCCGCACAAGCGGUGGAGCAUGUGGUUUAAUUCGAUGCAACGCGAAGAACCUUACCUGGUCUUGACAUCCACAGAACUUUCCAGAGAUGGAUUGGUGCCUUCGGGAACUGUGAGACAGGUGCUGCAUGGCUGUCGUCAGCUCGUGUUGUGAAAUGUUGGGUUAAGUCCCGCAACGAGCGCAACCCUUAUCCUUUGUUGCCAGCGGUCCGGCCGGGAACUCAAAGGAGACUGCCAGUGAUAAACUGGAGGAAGGUGGGGAUGACGUCAAGUCAUCAUGGCCCUUACGACCAGGGCUACACACGUGCUACAAUGGCAUAUACAAAGAGAAGCGACCUCGCGAGAGCAAGCGGACCUCAUAAAGUAUGUCGUAGUCCGGAUUGGAGUCUGCAACUCGACUCCAUGAAGUCGGAAUCGCUAGUAAUCGUAGAUCAGAAUGCUACGGUGAAUACGUUCCCGGGCCUUGUACACACCGCCCGUCACACCAUGGGAGUGGGUUGCAAAAGAAGUAGGUAG